rnacentral:rRNA from 1 species
GAAGAAAGAUGGAGGCGUGCUUAACACAUGCAAGUCGAACGGAAAGGCCCUGCUUUUGUGGGGUGCUCGAGUGGCGAACGGGUGAGUAACACGUGAGUAACCUGCCCUUGACUUUGGGAUAACUUCAGGAAACUGGGGCUAAUACCGGAUAGGAGCUCCUGCUGCAUGGUGGGGGUUGGAAAGUUUCGGCGGUUGGGGAUGGACUCGCGGCUUAUCAGCUUGUUGGUGGGGUAGUGGCUUACCAAGGCUUUGACGGGUAGCCGGCCUGAGAGGGUGACCGGCCACAUUGGGACUGAGAUAUGGCCCAGACUCCUACGGGAGGCAGCAGUGGGGAAUAUUGCACAAUGGGCGGAAGCCUGAUGCAGCAACGCCGCGUGCGGGAUGACGGCCUUCGGGUUGUAAACCGCUUUCGCCUGUGACGAAGCGUGAGUGACGGUAAUGGGUAAAGAAGCACCGGCUAACUACGUG